UGGGGAAUUUUGCACAAUGGGGGAAACCCUGAUGCAGCGACGCCGCGUGAUUUAGAAGGCCUUCGGGUUGUAAAAAUCUUUUCUAUGGGAAGAAAAUGACAGUACCAUAGGAAUAAGGACCGGCUAAUUACGUGCCAGCAGCCGCGGUAAUACGUAAGGUCCGAGCGUUGUCCGGAAUCAUUGGGCGUAAAGGGUACGUAGGCGGGUAAGCAAGUUAGAAGUGAAAUCCUGUAGCUCAACUACAGUAAGCUUUUAAAACUGCUCAUCUUGAGAUAUGGAAGGGAAAGUGGAAUUCCUAGUGUAGCGGUGAAAUGCGAAGAUAUUAGGAGGAAUACCGGUGGCGAAGGCGACUUUCUGGCCAUAAACUGACGCUGAGGUACGAAAGCGUGGGUAGCAAACAGG
rnacentral:rRNA from 1 species